UUAAGCGACUAAGCGUACACGGUGGAUGCCCUGGCAGUCAGAGGCGAUGAAGGACGUGCUAAUCUGCGAUAAGCGUCGGUAAGGUGAUAUGAACCGUUAUAACCGGCGAUUUCCGAAUGGGGAAACCCAGUGUGUUUCGACACACUAUCAUUAACUGAAUCCAUAGGUUAAUGAGGCGAACCGGGGGAACUGAAACAUCUAAGUACCCCGAGGAAAAGAAAUCAACCGAGAUUCCCCCAGUAGCGGCGAGCGAACGGGGAGCAGCCCAGAGCCUGAAUCAGUGUGUGUGUUAGUGGAAGCGUCUGGAAAGGCGCGCGAUACAGGGUGACAGCCCCGUACACAAAAAUGCACAUACUGUGAGCUCGAUGAGUAGGGCGGGACACGUGGUAUCCUGUCUGAAUAUGGGGGGACCAUCCUCCAAGGCUAAAUACUCCUGACUGACCGAUAGUGAACCAGUACCGUGAGGGAAAGGCGAAAAGAACCCCGGCGAGGGGAGUGAAAAAGAACCUGAAACCGUGUACGUACAAGCAGUGGGAGCACGCUUAGGCGUGUGACUGCGUACCUUUUGUAUAAUGGGUCAGCGACUUAUAUUCUGUAGCAAGGUUAACCGAAUAGGGGAGCCGAAGGGAAACCGAGUCUUAACUGGGCGUUAAGUUGCAGGGUAUAGACCCGAAACCCGGUGAUCUAGCCAUGGGCAGGUUGAAGGUUGGGUAACACUAACUGGAGGACCGAACCGACUAAUGUUGAAAAAUUAGCGGAUGACUUGUGGCUGGGGGUGAAAGGCCAAUCAAACCGGGAGAUAGCUGGUUCUCCCCGAAAGCUAUUUAGGUAGCGCCUCGUGAAUUCAUCUCCGGGGGUAGAGCACUGUUUCGGCAAGGGGGUCAUCCCGACUUACCAACCCGAUGCAAACUGCGAAUACCGGAGAAUGUUAUCACGGGAGACACACGGCGGGUGCUAACGUCCGUCGUGAAGAGGGAAACAACCCAGACCGCCAGCUAAGGUCCCAAAGUCAUGGUUAAGUGGGAAACGAUGUGGGAAGGCCCAGACAGCCAGGAUGUUGGCUUAGAAGCAGCCAUCAUUUAAAGAAAGCGUAAUAGCUCACUGGUCGAGUCGGCCUGCGCGGAAGAUGUAACGGGGCUAAACCAUGCACCGAAGCUGCGGCAGCGACGCUUAUGCGUUGUUGGGUAGGGGAGCGUUCUGUAAGCCUGCGAAGGUGUGCUGUGAGGCAUGCUGGAGGUAUCAGAAGUGCGAAUGCUGACAUAAGUAACGAUAAAGCGGGUGAAAAGCCCGCUCGCCGGAAGACCAAGGGUUCCUGUCCAACGUUAAUCGGGGCAGGGUGAGUCGACCCCUAAGGCGAGGCCGAAAGGCGUAGUCGAUGGGAAACAGGUUAAUAUUCCUGUACUUGGUGUUACUGCGAAGGGGGGACGGAGAAGGCUAUGUUGGCCGGGCGACGGUUGUCCCGGUUUAAGCGUGUAGGCUGGUUUUCCAGGCAAAUCCGGAAAAUCAAGGCUGAGGCGUGAUGACGAGGCACUACGGUGCUGAAGCAACAAAUGCCCUGCUUCCAGGAAAAGCCUCUAAGCAUCAGGUAACAUCAAAUCGUACCCCAAACCGACACAGGUGGUCAGGUAGAGAAUACCAAGGCGCUUGAGAGAACUCGGGUGAAGGAACUAGGCAAAAUGGUGCCGUAACUUCGGGAGAAGGCACGCUGAUAUGUAGGUGAAGUCCCUCGCGGAUGGAGCUGAAAUCAGUCGAAGAUACCAGCUGGCUGCAACUGUUUAUUAAAAACACAGCACUGUGCAAACACGAAAGUGGACGUAUACGGUGUGACGCCUGCCCGGUGCCGGAAGGUUAAUUGAUGGGGUUAGCGCAAGCGAAGCUCUUGAUCGAAGCCCCGGUAAACGGCGGCCGUAACUAUAACGGUCCUAAGGUAGCGAAAUUCCUUGUCGGGUAAGUUCCGACCUGCACGAAUGGCGUAAUGAUGGCCAGGCUGUCUCCACCCGAGACUCAGUGAAAUUGAACUCGCUGUGAAGAUGCAGUGUACCCGCGGCAAGACGGAAAGACCCCGUGAACCUUUACUAUAGCUUGACACUGAACAUUGAGCCUUGAUGUGUAGGAUAGGUGGGAGGCUUUGAAGUGUGGACGCCAGUCUGCAUGGAGCCGACCUUGAAAUACCACCCUUUAAUGUUUGAUGUUCUAACGUUGACCCGUAAUCCGGGUUGCGGACAGUGUCUGGUGGGUAGUUUGACUGGGGCGGUCUCCUCCUAAAGAGUAACGGAGGAGCACGAAGGUUGGCUAAUCCUGGUCGGACAUCAGGAGGUUAGUGCAAUGGCAUAAGCCAGCUUGACUGCGAGCGUGACGGCGCGAGCAGGUGCGAAAGCAGGUCAUAGUGAUCCGGUGGUUCUGAAUGGAAGGGCCAUCGCUCAACGGAUAAAAGGUACUCCGGGGAUAACAGGCUGAUACCGCCCAAGAGUUCAUAUCGACGGCGGUGUUUGGCACCUCGAUGUCGGCUCAUCACAUCCUGGGGCUGAAGUAGGUCCCAAGGGUAUGGCUGUUCGCCAUUUAAAGUGGUACGCGAGCUGGGUUUAGAACGUCGUGAGACAGUUCGGUCCCUAUCUGCCGUGGGCGCUGGAGAACUGAGGGGGGCUGCUCCUAGUACGAGAGGACCGGAGUGGACGCAUCACUGGUGUUCGGGUUGUCAUGCCAAUGGCACUGCCCGGUAGCUAAAUGCGGAAGAGAUAAGUGCUGAAAGCAUCUAAGCACGAAACUUGCCCCGAGAUGAGUUCUCCCUGACCCUUUAAGGGUCCUGAAGGAACGUUGAAGACGACGACGUUGAUAGGCCGGGUGUGUAAGCGCAGCGAUGCGUUGAGCUAACCGGUACUAAUGAACCGUGAGGCUUAACCUU
rnacentral:rRNA from 1 species